GACGGAGGAUGCAAGCGUUAUCCGGAAUGAUUGGGCGUAAAGCGUCCGCAGGUGGCAGUUCAAGUCUGCUGUCAAAGACCGGGGCUUAACCCCAGAAAGGCAGUGGAAACUGAAAGGCUAGAGGAUGGUAGGGGCAGAGGGAAUUCCCAGUGUAGCGGUGAAAUGCGUAGAGAUUGGGAAGAACACCGGUGGCGAAAGCGAUCUGCUGGGCCAUAACUGACACUCAGGGACGAAAGCUAGGGGAGCGAAUGGG
rnacentral:rRNA from 1 species